GCGUGGGCCUGAUGAAAUAUUCCAAGGAAAAAGGCAUUAGCCAACUGGAAGGAGUGUCGGAAAUCAUCCGAGCCAGGUGCACAUUGUCUCAGUACCAAGCCUCUUACCAAUUCAAGAAAAAAUCAAACAGCGUUUUCGGUUUUGUUCUUCAACUCGUAGCCGAAGAUUUGCACAAAGAAAUGGAAUCCUUUCCCGUAUUCGGUUUCCACGUUGAAUUCGAUGUAGUUGUGUCCGACUCCGCCUCCCGCAUACGACGGGUACCCUCCUUCGCCAUUGGGCACUUCGUCGUAGAUAUUGGCACAAGUGAUGUAAACCUCACCUUCCACAUUGAUCUAAAAAACGACACGUGCUCUUAAUAAGGUCACCCGAAGCACAAUUUGUUCCUAUCGCACCCACAAUCGGUUCGGAAAUCGUAACCUUGUCACUAUUUCCAAACCCUACCAAAAGUCAACCUACUCUUAUUCCGGCACCGACGUGACUUUUUCCGUCAUUAUACAGUAUGAUAUUCUCCUGGUGGAGGACACUGUCGGUGGGUUUGCACCGCCCGACGAGCAGAUUGUGCGGCUUUUUUAAUACUUGGUGUACGACUGCAAAUAUUUUGAUAAAAAGGAUUCUAAGGGUU